GGGGAAACGGCAUUGAGUGCUUGCACUCUUUGGACGUUGACCGGCGCACGGGUGAGUAACGCGUAUCCAACCUUCCCAUUACUGUGGGAUAACCUGCCGAAAGGCAGACUAAUACCGCAUAGUCUUCGAUGACGGCAUCAGAUUUGAAGUAAAGAUUUAUCGGUAAUGGAUGGGGAUGCGUCUGAUUAGCUUGUUGGCGGGGUAACGGCCCACCAAGGCGACGAUCAGUAGGGUUCUGAGAGGAAGGUCCCCCACAUUGGAACUGAGACACGGUCCAAACUCCUACGGGAGGCAGCAGUGAGGAAUAUUGGUCAAUGGACGGAAGUCUGAACCAGCCAAGUAGCGUGCAGGAUGACGGCCCUAUGGGUUGUAAACUGCUUUUGUAUGGGGAUAAAGUUAGGGACGUGUCCCUAUUUGCAGGUACCAUACGAAUAAGGACCGGCUAAUUCCGUGCCAGCAGCCGCGGUAAUACGGAAGGUCCAGGCGUUAUCCGGAUUUAUUGGGUUUAAAGGGAGCGUAGGCUGGAGAUUAAGUGUGUUGUGAAAUGUAGACGCUCAACGUCUGAAUUGCAGCGCAUACUGGUUUCCUUGAGUACGCACAACGUUGGCGGAAUUCGUCGUGUAGCGGUGAAAUGCUUAGAUAUGACGAAGAACUCCGAUUGCGAAGGCAGCUGACGGGAGCGCAACUGACGCUUAAGCUCGAAGGUGCGGGUAUCAAACAGGAUUAGAUACCCUGGUAGUCCGCACAGUAAACGAUGGAUGCCCGCUGUUGGUACCUGGUAUCAGCGGCUAAGCGAAAGCAUUAAGCAUCCCA
rnacentral:rRNA from 1 species